rnacentral:rRNA from 1 species
AGGACGAACGCUGGCGGCGUGCUUAACACAUGCAAGUCGAGCGGUAAGGCCUUUCGGGGUACACGAGCGGCGAACGGGUGAGUAACACGUGGGUGAUCUGCCCUGCACUCUGGGAUAAGCCUGGGAAACUGGGUCUAAUACCGGAUAUGACCUGCUCUCGCAGUGGGGGUGGGUAGGAAAGAUUUAUCGGUGCAGGAUGGGCCCGCGGCCUAUCAGUCUUUGGUUGGUAGGGGUAAUGGACCUACCGAAGGCGACGACGGGUAGCCGACCUGAGAGGGUGACCGGCCACACUGGGACUGAGACACGGCCCAGACCUCCGUACGGGAGGC